AACUGUUGUAAAUUUUGAAUUCUAAGAUAUCUGGGUCAGCAAAGAGUGCAGAGGAUGUUCUUGAUAUUUAAGCAGUUUUGGAGAUAUUGUUUUGUUUAAGAUUUAAAGUGUUUAAGUAUUGGUAUGAUAACAAUCAGAAUCACCUGGGACAAGGAGAUAUACAACAGAAUCAGGCUGGGACAUAAGUGCUGACUGUGAGAAUUACCAGCAGUGUUUAAUAAUGAUGUGCAGUAUUAAUCCUGAAAAGGUGAGCACAACCACAAGAAGUUCUAGGAAACAGUCAGACAGAGGACUGAAAAUGGACAUCAAUAAAGGAAAUAGUAAUUUAAAUAAUCAGAAACACUUGAAACAAAUUUAAGAUUAAAAAAGGUUUCUUAUUGACAGAUUAAGAGCAAAAUAAUUGCUAAAAUUUAUAAGACAACCAGAACCUACCAAACCUGCAGCUAGUAAAAAAAACUGUUUGUGCUAUAGUGAAUGUAGGAUGUUCUAUUCUGUAUUUGGACUAAAGGAUAUGUAUUAAAUUUUGUGAAAGAAAUAUGUGAUCAUGUUAAACUACUAAAAAUUCCACCCCAAACAUUCCUGUGCUGAAUUCCAUCUCAGAAUUUUACAUUUUAAGAACAUUCAGGGAUGCUGGAAUUAGGCUGGAUUUUUUUCCAUGUUAUUCCAUCAAGGCUGGACUAUUUACCAUGGUAAAAAGUCCAGCCUCUAUGGUUGGCAGACACAUGGAAUACCCUGGAAAAAAAUCCAUACUUUUGUUCCAAUACUCCAUGUACAUGGAAAAGCAUGGAAUAAAGUCCAUGCUUUUCCAUGGAAAACAUGGAAAAUAUUCCAUGCAGCAUGGAAAAUGUUCCAUGUUUUUUCCCUGUUUAUCCAGCCCAUUUUUUCUCAGCUUCAGGCUGGAAAAGGCUGGAAAAUUUUGUUCCA